UUUUAAAUAGCUUAAAAAAAGUUUAAUAUUGAAAAUAUUAAGAUGAUAAAUUUUAUCUUUAAAAA
rnacentral:tRNA from 1 species